rnacentral:rRNA from 1 species
ACAACUACCUGAGGAGGGGGAUAACCCCGGAAAACUGGGGAUAAUACCCCAUAGAUUAGGGAUGCUGGAAUGCCCCCUAGUUCAAAGGUCCGCCGCCACAGGAUGGGUCUGCGGCCGAUUAGGUUGUUGUUGGGGUAACGGCCCAACAAGCCAUUGAUCGGUACGGGUUGUGGGAGCAAGAGCCCGGAGAUGGAUUCUGAGACACGAAUCCAGGCCCUACGGGGCGCAGCAGGCGCGAAAAAUUUACAAUGCGAGAAAUUGUGAUAAGGGAACCCCGAGUGCCCGUAAAUUCGGGCUGUCCGUCAGUGUAAAUAACUGGCGAAGAAAGGGCCGGGCAAGACUGGUGCCAGCCGCCGCGGUAAUACCGGCGGCUCGAGUGGUGGCCGCUAUUACUGGGCUUAAAGCGUCCGUAGCUGGGUUGUUAAGUCUCCUGGGAAAUCCACCGGCUCAACCGAUGGGCGUUCAGGAGAUACUGGCAACCUAGGGACCGGGAGAGGUGAGAGGUACUCCAGGGGUAGGAGUGAAAUCCUGUAAUCCUUGGGGGACCACCUGUGGCGAAGGCGUCUCACCAGAACGGCUCCGACAGUGAGGGACGAAAGCUGGGGGAGCAAACCGGAUUAGAUACCCGGGUAGUCCCAGCUGUAAACGAUGCGCGUUAGGUGUAUCGGUGACCACGAGUCACCGAGGUGCCGAAGAGAAAUCGUGAAACGUGCCGCCUGGGAAGUACGGUCGCAAGGCUGAAACUU